rnacentral:lncRNA from 1 species
UUGAAAGGCAUUCAAGCUAUUUCCCAAGAACUUGAAAGUCAGUUAGUCACGCAUAGCUUCCCGCAUAGUGAUGCCUUUCUCUUUUGCUUAUCUCAGAGAUCUUUGGCAAGAUAGCAUACUGUAUGUGUAAAACAGCAGUUCUCAAAGUGUGCCUGGAGCAGCAUCAGCAACAUCACUUGGGAAAUGAGAAAAAUGCAGAUUCUCUGAUCCCACCUCUGACCUACAGAAUCAAAAACUCUAGAAAUGGGCCUCUGUAAGCUGUGUUUCAACCAGCCCUCCAGCUACAAAGCUGAGCACAGAACUAUGACUAUUCAAACACGUUGAAGAUACAACAGAGAAUGAAUAGCAAUGAAAGACAGUCUUGACUUGCUGCCAAGGAGAAAGAGAAGAGAUGAUGAACGGCCGAUUUGAGACAACUACCACUCAAAGGAUUUAUAAGAAGGAAAUGUUCUACAUUACUCAAGAAGAACAGAACAUGAGUUCAUUACACCCAUUGCAUCUUUUAGAUAGGGCUAAACUCUCAGAUUUUGAAUGCUGUCUUUGAUAAGCAUAGCUAGCUGUACUGUUGUCAUAGCUCAAGACUCAAGUACUGAUUUAUGCCUUGACCCUAAGUAACAUUCUGAAAAUGCUACUAAAUUUGAGAUCCUGAUUUGGAAGUCAAGAAUUGUAUGAUGUAACAUAAUUUUGAAGUCUAAAUACCAGUUAUUCUUGAAAACAAAACAAAACAAAAACACAGCUCCAAAGGCUGGCAAUUAAUCGUCAACAUCAACAUGUGUUUAUUAAGCCCUGCUUUGAGAGCUAUAAAAUAUAUAUUAGAACGUCUCUAUUUUAAGAAGCUCACAAACUUUCUGUAAUAAAGGUAAAGUUUAUUCUCUUCACGAACAGGGCUCCUUGCUAGUAUAUAUGCAUUGUUUAAAGCACAUUCUUCUAGGUUAUUUCAUUCUAUGGGGACUCUGAGUCUUUCAUUGCCUUUGAACUAUUUUACAACACUGUAAAUUGUAGAUAACCGAUAGCAGUACAAAAGAAUUCUCCUCUAUAGAUAUGCAAAUAAAUUCUGUCCAGCGGAAGUUCAAAG